UACGUAGGGUGCGAGCGUUGCCCGGAUUUAUUGGGCGUAAAGGGCGCGUAGGCGGCCACGCACGUCCGUUGUGAAAUCGCCCGGCUCAACUGGGCGGGGUCGGCGGAUACGGCGUGGCUGGAGCAAGCUAGGGGGCAAUGGAAUUCCCGGUGUAGUGGUGGAAUGCGUAGAUAUCGGGAGGAACACCAGUGGCGAAGGCGGUUGCCUGGAGCUUUGCUGACGCUGAGGCGCGAAAGCGUGGGGAGCGAGCCGG
rnacentral:rRNA from 1 species